rnacentral:rRNA from 1 species
GACGAACGCUGGCGGCGUGCCUAAUACAUGCAAGUAGAACGCUGAAGGAGGAGCUUGCUUCUCUGGAUGAGUUGCGAACGGGUGAGUAACGCGUAGGUAACCUGCCUGGUAGCGGGGGAUAACUAUUGGAAACGAUAGCUAAUACCGCAUAAGAGUGGAUGUUGCAUGACAUUUGCUUAAAAGGUGCACUUGCAUCACUACCAGAUGGACCUGCGUUGUAUUAGCUAGUUGGUGGGGUAACGCUCACCAAGGCGACGAUACAUAGCCGACCUGAGAGGGUGAUCGGCCACACUGGGACUGAGACACGGCCCAGACUCCUACGGGAGGCAGCAGUAGGGAAUCUUCGGCAAUGGACGGAAGUCUGACCGAGCAACGCCGCGUGAGUGAAGAAGGUUUUCGGAUCGUAAAGCUCUGUUGUAAGAGAAGAACGAGUGUGAGAGUGGAAAGUUC